GGCCUUUGGCGUUACGAAAUGACGUCCGAUGUGGUUCGGGUACGCCGGCACUUAAGUGGUACCCGUUCCGUCCCGAACCAUUUCGGGACUGGUGCGUCGAUCAGAAAUCGGGGUUUGGUGCCAUUUAUUUAUUGAAUAUCGAGCCGGAUGAUUGCGAAUCGUUUCAUUAACGACACCGGUUAUUCAAUAUACUUUCAUCGCAAUUGUGAGGGUGUCACGUUGAAUAUGAACAUGACCUAGCUAAAGAUUGACAUGAUCCUCAGAAUAGUUGGUGCCCCCUCUGGUCGGAGGUGACAAAUUUUCAUUAUAACAUUCAAACUAUUUUAAUUAAACCAAAUAGUCGCCUCCUGGACUCACUCCAGAGAAAGAUGGUAGGCUAGCUAUGUCAUGGGUGUAGCUAGGAUAACACAGUGUACCAUGAUUCACCAUCACACCUGAAUUUACGGAAUUCGAUGGAAUCCCAUGUAUAAAUUAAUCGUAGUUUCCAGGGGUUUGAAAUUUAUAAAAGACAAGCCGGCAAGAUGCACAGACUUUUCCCAAGAACUUCAGAAAGAUUACUUGGAAAUGGAACACCCCAAACAAGAUCAAGCUAGUAAUUUGGAGCCGCUCCACUGAGUAUAGGACAUGUUACGAAAAUCUACUACACGACAUUAUUUCGCAUCAGUAAUUAGCAACACGUCAUGGACAAGAUGAAAAUGGCGUCAAAGAUGGAUCGUGUUCAAGUCACACAAUAAUGGAUCGUGGAUGUACGACCCAUACCUUGGACCUGCCAGAAUUUGGAAACUUUAUCAAACGUUAUACAUGGUGUAAAGGAAACACCAUUACGUUAUCUUGUUUUCAUUUUUACUUAAUUCUAAUCUUCUAAAUACAACAUAGCAUUUGCGUAUUUUAAGAAUAUGUUAAUGUUAUUCAUUAAUAAUAAAAUCACCAGGUAAUCUGAAGAUGUUAAUAUAGAUUGUCCAUUUUAUUACCAUUUUCAAUUAGUAAGUUAUAUGUAUAUUUUUAUUAAUAUAUUUUUAUUGACGUUCUGUAAGAAUAUGAUUAUUAUGUUAUUUUAUGAAGUAUAUAAAUGUUCAUACAGGUUACCUGUUUUAUUGUUAUUGUUUGACCCAGCAUCAUAAGUGCCAAUUUGUAUGAUAACAUUGAAAAGUGAAAUUAUUUAAAAUAUAAAACUACAAAAAAAGUGAACUGCAAAAUUUUUUAAUAAUCAAAUAAUUAUAACGAAAAAUAUGGUUAGAUUGGUGUUAAAUUAAAUGGCGAAAUUGAUGGUCGGUCGUAACUUAAACUUUUAACUUUUUUAGCUCCUAUGUUUAUCAUUGAAAUAUUGUUCCAUUUAAAGAAUUUUUAUGCAGAAAGAAACUAGGAUAAACUAAUUUAAAUAUGGAUUGUUUAACAAUAUUGAAGUAUAACAAAUAAAAGUAUUUCAAAAGAUAAAGAAUGAUAAUUAAAUUUUUUGUUUAUAGUUCAUAGUAAUAAAAUGUAUUUUUUGAAAACAUACAGUUUAUUAAAUUUUAAAAGUAAAGGGACAUCAUACCAAAAAAAUGUAUUUGACAAAAUAUAAUUGCUUUUAAGGUGAAUGUUAAAAUCAAUAAUGUGACGUAGAUCAGUGGCCAGAGAUGGACCGGCUCAGAUUUUUAUUAACCAAUUUGAAUUAAUAGAUUUUGAUAGUCACUCGAUAUGACAUUGCCAGUCGAAUAAAUGUUUAAUAGAUAGACAUUAUUAUCAUAACCAUAUAUUUUUAAUUUCAAUAAAUGUACUAAAUACCUGUCAAAAUAAAAAUAGUUACUCGGAUUAGAUAACGCAAUUAUUCGGGUUGACUUGAAAUGACCUUAUCUCGAGUAAAUUUAGUUUCGAACAUUGAGUUAAUCCAUCUCUGGUCGUUGCCGCCUACAUAAUUCAAAUUUCAAUACGCUCAACUAAGCGGAUGUGUCUAAGGUAAAGGUCAUGUUUCGAACCAAUUGUAAAUGAAGGGUGCCAUGUACCAGGUGUAUUAAUACUUAUGCGUAAAAUUUUACUCGUAGUGAGUAAAUUCAACAAGGCAUCUCUACCACCUUACUGUACAAUGUAAUUCCAUUCACCAUGAUCUAAAUUUGAAAGAUGUAACCGAUCAACGUAAAAGUGAUAACUUAACCUCAUGUGCCAGCUAUACAUAUAUGUAACUAGUGAAAUGUAGUUAAAUACUUCCUGUUCAUUAUUGUCACACCUUUUAUUAAACAGAUCCUAUGGUGGGCAAAGCAAUCGAUACUGCAACGUUAUUGGAUGUCCCUUUUUUUUAAUUACUGUAACCUACGUUACGCGGAGAAGGAGCUGAAGGGGAUGCUAUCCGGGCCGGCGCGCGUUCCGUUCGGUGCAGCUAUAAAUUUGCAGCUGCGGAUGCAAGUGUGUCUGUAAACAUAAAUCCAAAUCUUUUGAAAGUCGUGCGGGACGCAACAGUUCGCGCUUUGGAAAAAUCAAGCAAUUGCAGCAAAGAGCGAGUGUUUAAUUACAUUAAUAAAUUGAGUACAGGUAGUACGAAAUUUAAUUCAUUUUCUGAUAUGGAAAUGGUGGUUUAGUUAUAACGGCAAUUUGGUGAAAAAUUGGAUUUCUCGAGGGUUAGUACAUAUUAAACUUUUGUUAUACAAUUUUUGUUCCAUAUCGAUUUUUUAGAUUUUGUAGCUAGAAAAAUCCAACAAUAUUCAGCUGCACCCUGUAACAGAUUUAUAGAAUUUAAUUAAUUUCUAGGUCACAUUUAUUUAUAUAAAUUGUAUUUAUUUAUAUAAUAUUUACAAUUUUAACCUCCGUGAGGUGUUCUGAUUUUCUAAUGGGAUUUAUUGAUUUUGUAGUAACUUUAUUAGCAUAUAUCAUUUUUGUAUUAUUGCAGUUACUAUUAGUAACAUUAUGUUUAUUUUUAAUUUACUUCACCUAUUAUUUUGUUAUAGUAAUUAUGGUUAUGAUGGUUUGUGAUUAAAUUUAUCUUUCAGAUGUAGUUGUCACAAGUUAAUAUAUUUAUAUAGUUUAUUGGUUAUGUUUUAUUAGAGUAAUCAUUAUUCUUAUUUAUAUUAUAUUAUAUUAUUCUUAGAAAAUUAUUUUGAGUGGUUGUUAUAGAGUAAAGUUACUUUGCAAUAAUUGUACUAUCAAUUUAAUUUGUUUAUUAUAGGUAGUAAAUCGUAUUAUAUUAUGUUAAUACACAUUAAUAAAAAUCAAAUCAAACUCCUUCUUUAAAACCGUAGUUGAAUAUUAUAUAUCCGUAAAUGUGAAAUGAAAUAAUAAAUGUUAUAAUUAUUAGCAGAUCAAUUGAAAUAAUUAACCAACCAAGGUUUCAUACAGGAUAAUCUUAUAUCCUGAUUCUUUCAGGUGGUCACCUAAACAUUUUUCAAUAGGUUAAUUAUUUUAAUUGAUCCGGCUACAACAUUCAAUGUGAAAAUAUUAUAUAAUUAAAAUAGUUAAACAAUGAUUGCGUUGAUACUUGUUUUGUGAAUGUAUUAUAUUCUCUUUUUUUAUUAAUAACAAAUUUUUGAGCAUAUUAACAGGUUAUUAAUUGCAAUCUAAUUUAUGUACAUCUUGUAUACUUGUAUAUUUAUUAAAUUUAAUUUAGUACCUUUCACAUAUUUAUACAUAUAUUUUGUGUUGUUUCUAAAUAUGUAAUAAUAAUGCAAUAGAAAUGGUUUAAAUGAGUGUAUACGACAAAUAUAAAUAAGUUUUUCUAUUUUAACUGUCGUGAACCGUUUAUUUAUGUUGGAUCUCGUAGUUAUUUUUCCAAAUAAAUAAUUUGUUUUUUAUACACAGUGUUUAACUUCAUAUUACAUGUAUUA